UACGUAGGGUGCGAGCGUUAAUCGGAAUUACUGGGCGUAAAGUGUGCGCAGGCGGCCGCGCAAGUCGAGUGUGAAAGCCCCGGGCUUAACUUGGGAAUUGCGCUCGAAACUACGUGGCUGGAGUGUGGCAGAGGAAGGUGGAAUUCCAGGUGUAGCGGUGAAAUGCGUAGAGAUCCGGAGGAACACCGAUGGCGAAGGCAGCCUUCUGGGCCAACACUGACGCUCAUGCACGAAAGCGUGGGGAGCAAACAGG
rnacentral:rRNA from 1 species